rnacentral:piRNA from 2 species
CAAAUGGUAGAGCGCUCGCUUAGCA